AGGCUAGGGCUUUCCGGAAUCGCGGUUCUCCCAUCUAUUUACCCCUAACCAUAUCCGGUUAUAAUAGAAGCCUUUCCACCAAUUCUUAAUCAAGCUUUAGAUUUAAUUAAUGCUUAAAUUUAGACGUUAGCUCUACCCUCAAACACAAUAACGGUUAGGUAGUAAGGGUUCUACAGGAUUAUACAAAGAUUUUAAAUGGAGGAAGCAGGUGUGCAUGAAGCUGCUCUGUGGAUGGUGUGUAGUCUGUUUGUCAAAAUGUGAAGCUCAGGUGUAUAUCAAGCUGUACAGCGACUAUCAGAAUUUUGGAGCAAAACAAAGAUACAAUUUUAAUCAGAUUGAUUUCAAGGAGUAGUCUCCCCUAUCAAAGAUCAGUAAUGGUGGAUAUACAAUGCUGGAUGCAGUCUGGUCAUCAACAGAGAGUUUUGACACCCAUAAUUCAUAUCUUUAACCUUUGCUGUGUUUAUCAGACAGAUGAUGAACCAGUCUACUUCUUUUACAAGAGGUGCCCCUCCAGAUUCACAAAGUUCCAAUGUUGAGUUCCCAUGACACCUAUUCAUCCACCACAGGAAAAGGAAAUACAGUGGACCCUCAUUUAUCCGGACGCUUUGGUUCCCAGUCAAUUUGUCCGGAUAUGUGAAGCAUCCGGAUAUCUGAAUCACCAGUUAAACAAGAAAGAAUAACAUUUAAAAUUUUCGUUCAGAUGAAAAAUCGUCCGGAUACUGAAGCAUCCGGAUAUCUGGGUCUGGAUAUCUGAAGUUCCACUGUAGUUGACAGGACUUUUUACACUGUCCUUGGUAGCAAUGAGGAUGGAACCAACAGCAGUAGACAAAGCCAGCUUCCUGAAAGAUGCAUCUACACUAGCUUUCUUCAUCACUGGUGAAAUGGGAUGCGACAAGUAGACAUUCAUCACCAAUAAAUUUUGUGCCCCAUCUCUUCUUACCUCAAAUUAUGGCCUCUUGGGGAAUAGUUGCAGUGCAGUCUUUGUGUCCUUGGCAGGUAACUUCCUUUCCUGUUCUUCUUAGGUCUGUUGCAUGUUGGCAACUGAUGCUGGUUCAAUUUUCACCAAGAAGCAUACCAUGCAUACCACUGUGGUAACACUGGUAACCAAGUGACGGACAGGCAUAACCACACUUAGGCGUGCACCUCUUCGUCCCCUUCCAGAUCUCCUUACCUCUAUGUAAAGCUUUUCUUGGUGACUGGUAAAGUGAUAUUUUUACAAUAGAUAAAAAGGAUCCAUGCCAGACCUUGUUUUUCCUCCCCAUGCUGAUUCCAGUCCAGUGAACCAUCACAAACUUGAAACUUUGCAAUGUAUCCUUCCUUAUGAUUUGUCCUUGUACCCAACAUUCUCUGCCCAAACAGCCAAUGCAAUGAAGAAGAAAAUGUAGGGUUGAAAUGGAUUAAAGAUCAACUUUUCUAUAUGACAGCAAAUGUUUUCUUGUGAAUUGUACAUGUUGUAUAUUUUACUUGUAGAACAAGACUUUAUCAAAGUUUUCAUCAAUUUAAGAAAAAGCACAAUUUUCACACUCAUGUAAGAAGAGAAAUAUAAUAGAGUAUUGAAAACUAUGUUAGAAUUUUUUUUUGUCAAGCAUGUGUUAAUUACAAAUUGAAAUAAGAAAACUUUUAAUAGCAGAUGAAUAGUUACUGUGUAGAUUAUUAUGAAUAUAAGGUCACCCAAGUCACUCUGACAAUGGUGCACUAUCAUAUGGAAAUUUUCAACUUCUUCUUUGAAACCGCUUAAGCAGUCUUAAAUAAUUUUGGCAUACAGUUUGGCUCACCUAUUAUUUUAUUCUUAGAACAUUUUCUAUGGUCAGGGUUGUAUUCUACUCGGGUGACCUUUAAGGUCCAUUGGCCCCUUGUAACUCUUUUACAUAAAUAUUUUGUUUUUAAGCUAUUAUUGCUGCCAUCAUUUGCAAGCAUUGUAAGUAUAUUAUUUUCUUUGUUAACUUUGCUGUCAUUUUCUUGAUUUAUAAGCUUUUCAUAUGUAUAUUAUUUAUUAUACACAUUGUUUUUGUUGUUAGCAAUAAUUUGAAUGUAUGCACAUGAACUAUAAUUUGGAUGAGAGCAUAUUUGUAUAUUUCCAAUAUUUUCUUGAGCAAUAAAUAUUGAAUUGAUUUCAGCAUAUUUUAUUAUAUAUUCAAACAUGUAUUGUUAAGGCAGCAGGCAUACUGCAUUACUUUGAUAAAUUGAAUACUGCAUUAUAAUGUUAGACAUGACCAGUUAUUGUUACACUAUCAUUAAAGAACUCAUAACUUAUACAUG